UGAAAAUAGGGCUGGGUGAUAAAACAAUAACGACAUAUAUCACGAAAUAACUUUUCCGCGAUAGAAAUACGAGACAUGCUUGAUACAAUUGCGAUAGAAUUCAUUCGUCCAUGUUUUGACAGACAAAAGAACAGCCAAUCAUAAUUAAAUAAAUAGCAAAAAUAAUAAUAAUAAU